AUUGAACGCUGGCGGCAGGCCUAACACAUGCAAGUCGAGCGGGGUUUUCGGACCUAGCGGCGGACGGGUGAGUAAUGCGUAGGAAGCUACCCGAUAGAGGGGGAUACCAGUUGGAAACGACUGUUAAUACCGCAUAAUGUCUACGGACCAAAGUGUGGGACCUUCCGGCCACAUGCUAUCGGAUGCGCCGACGUGGGAUUAGCUAGUUGGUGGGGUAAUGGCUCACCAAGGCGACGAUCCCUAGCUGGUUUGAGAGGAUGAUCAGCCACACUGGAACUGAGACACGGUCCAGACUCCUACGGGAGGCAGCAGUGGGGAAUAUUGGACAAUGGGCGCAAGCCUGAUCCAGCCAUGCCGCGUGUGUGAAGAAGGCCUUCGGGUUGUAAAGCACUUUCAGUAGGGAGGAAGAGUUGAGUGUUAAUAGUACUCAGCUUUGACGUUACCUACAGAAGAAGCACCGGCUAACUCUGUGCCAGCCGCCGCUGUAAUAC
rnacentral:rRNA from 1 species